rnacentral:lncRNA from 1 species
ACUUGUAACUGUCAGUUUGAUUGGCUUGGGAGCCACCUACAAUAUUAGUAAAGUACACUUCUGGGUGUGUCUGGGUGGGCUAUGAAGGUGUGAUUUCAGGCACUAUAUCUGGUCUCUGGUCCUUUUUUCUCCAGUAUUGUUCUGCUGUGCUUCCCAGCUGCUAGGAACUAAGCAGCUUUCCUCUGCCAAGCCCCUCCACCGUGAUGUUCCUGCCUUGGAGCUUGCUGACCAGGGACUGAAUCUCUUGAAACUGUGAGCCAAAUUAAACCUCUCUUUUUUAAAAUUGUGAAUGUCAGCUAUUGCGUUCAAGAGAGGAAAAGAUGACUAAUACAGAAGGCUGGAUUCAGAUUUCAAAUUUUCACUCCUUGGACUUCUGCCCAGGAGCAUGGUGGAUGGAACCUUUCGACAGGUGA